UGGUUAGGUACAUAAGAAAUGGACUGUGAGCCAUUAACUCAAUGUAUUUCCUAGGACAGAUGGUUGGCCAAAGUUGAAAAUUUACCUCCUGCCCAAUACCAGCAUUUCCCAUUGAGUGGAGCACCACCUGCCUACUGAGGACUGGAUUGCCGUCACCCACGCAGCUCUUCCUCCAUGGUAUGCGCUGCCACUGGCUGAUUUCUGGAGCACGAGAGUGUUUAAUUCAUCUUCCCAGUUCUGGAUGGGACAAAAAUUUACUCCAGCAUUUAAAGCCUGAGUAAGGAAAUUUAUCAACAAGACUGUG